rnacentral:lncRNA from 1 species
UGGAUUGAAAAGACUGCUUGUGACGUCAAAGACUUGAUAUUCUUCUUUUCCCAAGGUAAAGAAUGUUGGCUAGCUCUGAAAUUCAAAUUACUACCACCGAGUUAGUAGUCGAGUCUGGUUAGUCGUCUGAAUAGCGCAGGAACCCAAUGACAUGUCGGAAAUUUGAAAUUUCUCGGAAAAAAUGUUUCACCUGCUGUUUUUCAUUUCGCCUUCCGUGAAACCCGAAACUUUAGUUUUUAAUUUGAUUCCGUUGCCUGAAAAAUCCAAGGUUCAUUCGAUACUUUUUGUUCUCCAUUUUAUUGGAUUAAAUUAAUCACAAAUUUCUUUAUUUCCCGCACACGCUCGGAUGAUUUCAAUUGCGAAACACGCCCUUGGGGCCCGGCAACCGUUCGCGGAUGUAACGAUACAUAAACGAGCAUUAUUUUUUAUUUGUUAUUAUUUUCCAGCCAAAAUAUUUAGAGGAAUGUGUGUCGCCAUAUUUUACCCUUGCAAAUGCGGAGCUGAAUACCACCGCUGAUGACGGCCCGCACACAAUAACAGUUAUCAAGUUUUAAAACUUAUAUAUUAUUUCCAUACACGACUGGGAUCUGGACUGGAUAAUAAAAUGGCGCAGUGUAAAGCUUUGCACAAUCAACUAGCGAGCUGCCUAUUGGCUAUACGAUUUUGCACGCAGCGAUUUGAGCAAAUAUAUAAGAAGCUUUCAUCGACUUUUGUGUUGGCUAAUCAAACAAUAGGUCGUUCCAACACUCCCGGAAUCUCAACUGCUACGUGGGAAAAUGUAAGGCAAGUCAAUCAAAAUGUCGCGGAUCCAACUGCAAAUAAUGGACCGGAGGAUUAUCCUUUUUCUCCCGGUUGGUUGUUGUGUGUGCAGGAGACAAAAGAAUACGCCGGCUAAUAAAAGAAAAGAGUGCGGCUUAGACUGCACGACGAUGAUGUUCAUUUGAGCGGAACAGACAGAAUCCUGAGAGUCCAUUUUUCAUCGCUGCUGCUGCUGCCAAUCGUGUCUUGUCUCGAUUCGUCAAAUGACAUCAGCCCAAACGUGACCACUUAUAUGACACACUUGUGUGUGUCUCCUUGUUAAUGUUGUUUUGAUCGAUAUAGCUAUAGCGCCCAGUUGUCUUCUACCCACCCGAUAAUAUGUAGAACUGUGCACAAGGGCGAGAAGCCACUUGGAUAUUCGCAGGGUCGUGACUUAUCAUCGGGAUUCGACCGGCUGUGGAGAACGAAGGAAUCGAUCAAUAACAUCCCGCAAGAUCCGUCUCCACAGCUGACGUCAAUCUUUAAGAAAAGCGGCUAAUCAACCGAAAUCCGUUGGGGGUGAUAAAUCUUUCCUGUUCCGGCCCCGCACAGCACGUCUCCAACCGGAAUCGUUCUAAUAUCUGCGCGGUGUUGUCCGCAUGUAUAAAUACGAAAAAGAUUUCUUUCCUCUCGGCGACGGGGGGUGUUAAUAUCAAAUCGAUAAACAUUUGUCACGCUCCCUGCACGCGUUGGAUGGGCGUAUUAUUCAAUAUAAAACAAGGGGGGAAUAAAAAUGGUUUUUUUAGUAUUUAUUCACCCCAUCGCCAGACGAUACUGGCGCGCUAAAAUGAUUAAGAUCCGACGUCUAUUAUAGGCAGACUCCAUCGUGUGAAAACGCCAUUUAUACCGAGCAUAAUAGCUAAAAAGAAUAACUGGUGGAUAGCAACCCUGACAGGCAGGUUUGAAAAGGAGAGUGGAUGACUAACGUAAUCGUUUGCUUGGCGGUAAUAAAAAUAAGUAAAUAAAUAAUCACUAGUAAAGAUGUUCAAACCUUUGAAAUGAUUCUAGUUGUCAUGGUUACCAUAAAUAGCAAUCAAUCCUGCCGAUAUUUAAUUAAAUAAAAUGUAUUAAUUAUUUGAAUGUCGAUGUUACCGCCAGCCACUUUAGUCCAAUCAGCUGAAAGAAAUUUUAGUGCAGUCAAGACACGCUGCAUUUCCACUGGUACUAAAUUAGUACCCAAUUUCCUAAUGUUUUCCAAAUACUUUUAUUAUAAUUCUUCAAAAAACAGCGCCAGUAUAGUGCGUAAACAAAAGUAUAACACUGUGCCUUAGAAAUUACAAUUACCACGUACUCAAGUACUUGACAAAAUUGGGCAUAGGAUCGUCUUGACCGAUAAAA